rnacentral:lncRNA from 1 species
UUUCAGAAAAUACAACCACUGAUAUUACCUCUAAUAGAACUAAAUCUGAUAAAAGGAGAAAGAUAGAUCAUAAGAAUGAAACUAUUGGUAUUUUACCACUGUUUGACAAAGAAGAAAGGCAAAAGUUAUUUCCCAGCAAAGUUACAUGCCAGUCAAAUGAUACCAAAGGAAUGCACUUAGAAGAAGUAGUCUCUACCGCUUGCUUAAAAGUAACCAAACAGCCUGCAGAAGUAUUUUUAUCUUUUCAGAAUUCCAAGGACUUUCUUUUCUCAUGGAACAUAAUGAUGUUACAAUUUCAAAACCUACCAAUGAUAAACUGUCAAAAAGAAAUGCUCGUGGAGCGAAAAAGAACGUUUGUAAAAGCAGCAAAAUUAAACAGACAUUCGUGAAAGAGAUCGUGGUACCUCAAUUCAACGAUACUAGUGUUGAUUGCUGUAGAGAUACAGAUACUUCCAAUGAAAUAGAACAUAAGUUGGUAAAUGUUUCGAUUUCAAACCAGAAAUCUUUGGAAAUUGUGAACAUCCUAAAUGGUGAUGUGAGCAAGGCUUCAAAAGGUAAGCAGUAACCUUGGUAAGAAACGAGUUUUAGAGAGAAGCAGCUGCAGAGCUAAACCAACAACAAAUCAAU